UUCUAGUUGUUUCUCCCUGCUCCCUGUUCAACAUGCAGUGUAUUGAUGUGUGAUAUUUCUAGUUGUUUCUCCCUGCUCCCUGUUCAACAUGCAGUGUAUGGUAUGGCACCUACUUCCCCAGCGGACACAGAGAACGGUACAUGUCAGUCCAUGUUUUUUUAAUGUAUUACAAAACAGUCAACACACAAUCAAGUACAAAUGGUUAUCAAGUACAAAGCAGUGUAUUGCGGUACAAAUAUGGCAUGCAGUCAUUUCCCCCCCAAAAAUAUCAUUAAAAACAUGUAAACAUUGCAUAUUAUGGUUAAAGCAUGAAGCUUAAAAUUGGCACCAUUCUUUUUCCUAUUCUACUACGUCUUUUUCUUCUCCUGUGGAUAGUGCUAGUAUUUACAUUUGAAACACAAAGCCUUUGCCAAGGCCUAUCAAUUUUUUUUUCACAACGGAAAAAGUCUUUACAGAAAGCAAGAAUAUAACGACCUACAGUGGAAAGUAUUUCUGGGUCUGAGAUAUGUGUGUGUGUGCGCGUGUGUGUGUGUGUUAGUGUGUCCGUGUGUGUGUGUGUGUGAGAGAGUAUGCACGUGUGUGAGUAAGUGUCUUAAGUCUCAGCUACAUCCUUUAAUCUAAUGAAAACAUACAGCUCCCGGUAUAAGGCAAGGCAGAUCAAAUCCACUAUGAACAGGUAGGGAAGCUUAUAGUUUAAGGCACAAGUCGGAGCGACUGCAUUCUUACGGAAAACCAUAAUACCCCCAAUAUCCCCCCCCCCUGACUCCAUGCCUGUUCUCGAAGAACAACACAACGACAGAGAGAGCGAGAGAGAGAGAGAAAGUACCCAACGUGCAAUGCAAGGGAAUGGCACAACGUGGGACAGGGAACAGGAAGAAUCUAACACGGGCAAGGGAUAACUCCACCAAAAGUGGAUUAGCGGUGCGUCGGCGUCGACUCGUUAGUCCACGACGGUGAGGCGGAUCCAUCGCUGAGUAGAUUACAAGCCGAGAAUCCGGUGCGGCUAUGGCAGAUUAGCGCUAAACUGGAUCACCACCGCGGAAAACAGCUGUAGGGUGGAGUUUACCAAUGACAUAACUCAGCGUGCAGACGACUUGACGCCCCGGAGAAAUGGAAGAAGCGAAAGAAAGAAGGAAAAGAACAAAAUCAAUCAACAUAUCGUAGAUCUACCAAACAUGUGGACCAUCUAAGUGGUUGUGUUGGAGAGGACUUGGAGGGCUGUCAGUGGCAUUUGGAGAUUAGUGCACAGUCUGCCCCCCAUGGUACAGAGGGCCAUAAAGGAACACAGUGAGGCACCUCUGGGCCAGACAAAAGCAUCCAAGUCUGUGAGGAGAGGGGCAAGCAGAGAAAGGCAAAGUGGCUCCCCCCCCUCAUACCGAGGUCGAGGAUGCCCCCCCCCCCCCCCCCAAGACCUCAAAAUGGAGGCUGACAAGGUGGCUUACGCUCUCACUGAACCUUGCAUCAUUUGAUUUAUCAAGAUAUAAUUUUUCAUUCUUCACGCCCAUGCAGGUCUUUAAAAAUCCGCCUUUGGAAAAACGCUGUUUGAUAUGCACUUGUUUAGGAUGACACAAUUCCGAGUUCAAGGUCUUCUUCCACAAUCAUCCAUAACUGGUUGAUGUCUCUUUCAUAGCUCUGUGGAGCAAUCAUUUCGACAACACUUCUCCCAGAUCCCCAUUGAGGGAACGCCAAGCUUUUUCAUCUUCACAUAAGUAUCAUCAAAAUCUGACAAUCAUUUUUUUUUUAGGAAUACAUCUCUGUCAGAUAUAUGAUCCUAAUUCUCCACAAUCAUAGUCUACUGAAGCCUUGAUAGACUACAGGUUUUGCUAAGGCAGAUUUGAAAUCAUCCAAAAUAUAUAUGCCCAAACUAGCGUACAAAGAGAUUACAAAAGCUGAUAAGAAAUAUUAUUUUGGUCUUUUUAAGGACACUGUCCUUAUCUACCACACCCUGAUAGACAAGCAACAUUUUUGGAGAAACUAUCUGUACAAGCCCCGGGGCCUGCGUGUGGUAUUCUGUCCUGACGCCCCGGGGCCUGCGUGUGGUAUUCUGACUGUUUGUGGCACAGGCAUGGAGGCAACUGGAAUCCAGCUUGUGUGCACAGCUGUGUUUAUGAGCAAGCUUGUAUGAAAUAAGCACCAAUAAGUGAAGAUUGCUGUGUGGAGUUGAUUGAAUGAAAAAAAAAAAAAGUGUUUUUCGUGGCUCUUGCAGGUAUGUGUCUCGAGGCCCGUGUGAGUCUGAGGCUAGAGUAUUUCUCUACCCGCUCCACUGACAUGACUGAGGAACAAGAGAAGAACUUGCACCUCUGAUCACUGGGGCCUGUCGUUAUUCUUGUCAGGCUUUUGGUUUAAUCUUUCUUUGUGCACGCACAGACGUAAGCACGCACAAACACACCAAAGAUGUGCAUGUAAGUACACACACACACACACACACACACACAAACACACUCUCACACACACACACACACACACUCACUCACACACCCUGCUGUGUUGUCAGAUGAGUCAGUCACUCUGACAGCCCCAUACACACAGACACUUGUGUGACGUGGCUUACCAUUGUUAAUACUGAACAAUGCCUAUAAUGUACACCCCUCAAUGCUACGUAACUAUCCAACUUGAUCACCUCCAUCCACACAUACGCUGUCCAAAUGCCUAUAAUGUACACCCCUCUAUGCUACGUAACUAUCCAACUUGAUCACCUACAUCCACACAUACCCUGUCCCAUAGCUUGACAUUCUUAAAGCAUUUCUUAUCAAACCCACUUAGACCAGGCAGUGAAUGAAUAGACCAUCCAUUCACCAGUGGCUGCUUUCAUUAUUGAGUACCUGGUCACCAAUCACUAAGCAAGCAACUGAAAAUAUCAGAGCCAACAUGGCAGCCUGCGGGAACAUCCAACGGUUUCCUGUUUUCUUCUCUGGGUCCAUAAAGUCUCCUCUCGGUCCUUUGUUCAGUACAGAUCCAGUUCAGUCCAUCCAGUGAAAGAGAGAAGAAGAGGAGGGAUGGGGUCCUGAUGUGUAUACAAGUCCAGUUUCUAGAUACACAAAGAAAAAGAGCGAGAGAGAGAG
ensembl:lncRNA